GUAGGUGGCAAGCGUUGUCCGGAAUUAUUGAGCGUAAAGCGCGCGCAGGCGGUUCUUUAAGUCUGAUGUGAAAGCCCACGGCUCAACCGUGGAGGGUCAUUGGAAACUGGAGAACUUGAGUACAGAAGAGGAAAGCGGAAUUCCACGUGUAGCGGUGAAAUGCGUAGAGAUGUGGAGGAACACCAGUGGCGAAGGCGGCUUUCUGGUCUGUAACUGACGCUGAGGCGCGAAAGCGUGGGGGGAGCAAACAGGAUUAGAUACCCUGGUAGUCCACGCCGUAAACGAUGAGUGCUAAGUGUUAGGGGGUUUCCGCCCCUUAGUGCUGCAGCUAACGCAUUAAGCACUCCGCCUGGGAGUACGGCCGCAAGGCUG
rnacentral:rRNA from 1 species